CCUGAACCAUCAUUUUUUU
rnacentral:miRNA from 1 species